rnacentral:rRNA from 1 species
UACGAAGGGGGCUAGCGUUGUCCGGAAUUACUGGGCGUAAAGCGUGCGUAGGUGGUUCGUUAAGUCUGAUGUGAAAGCCCUGGGCUCAACCUGGGAAUGGCAUUGGAAACUGGCGACCUAGAGUGCGGUAGAGGGUAGUGGAAUUCCCGGUGUAGCAGUGAAAAUGCGUAGAGAUCGGGAGGAACAUCCGUGGCGAAGGCGACUACCUGGACCAGCACUGACACUGAGGCACGAAAAGCGUGGGGGAGCAAACAGG